UGGGGAAUUUUGGACAAUGGGGGCAACCCUGAUCCAGCCAUCCCGCGUGUGCGAUGAAGGCCUUCGGGUUGUAAAGCACUUUUGGCAGGGAAGAAAAGGCUCUGGAUAAUACCUGGAGCCGCUGACGGUACCUGCAGAAUAAGCACCGGCUAACUACGUGCCAGCAGCCGCGGUAAUACGUAGGGUGCAAGCGUUAAUCGGAAUUACUGGGCGUAAAGCGUGCGCAGGCGGUUCGGAAAGAAAGAUGUGAAAUCCCAGGGCUUAACCUUGGAACUGCAUUUUUAACUACCGGGCUAGAGUACGUCAGAGGGGGGUAGAAUUCCACGUGUAGCAGUGAAAUGCGUAGAGAUGUGGAGGAAUACCGAUGGCGAAGGCAGCCCCCUGGGAUGAUACUGACGCUCAUGCACGAAAGCGUGGGGAGCAAACAGGAUUAGAUACC
rnacentral:rRNA from 1 species